UCGGUGACAGGUGGUGCAUGGUUGUCGUCAGCUCGUGUCGUGAGAUGUUGGGUUAAGUCCCGCAACGAGCGCAACCCCUAUUGUUAGUUGCCAUCAUUCAGUUUGGGCACUCUAGCGAGACUGCCGGUAAUAAACCGGAGGAAGUGGGAUGACGUCAAAUCAUCAUGCCCCUUAUGACCUGGACUACACACGUGCUACAAUGGUUGGUACAACGAGUUGCGAGUCGGUGACGGCGAGCUAAUACUCUUAAAGCCAAUCUCAGUUCGGAUUGUAGGCUGCAACUCGCCUACAUGAAGUCGGAAUCGCUAGUAAUCGCGGAUCAGCACGCCGCGGUGAAUACGUUCCCGGGCCUU
rnacentral:rRNA from 1 species